UACAGAGGCCUCGAGCGUUAGGCGGAAUCACUGGGCUUAAAGCGUGUGUAGGUGGAUGCCUAAGUACCUUGUGAAAUCCCACGGCUUAACCGUGGAACUGCUGGGUAUACUGGGCGUCUUGAGCCACUCAGGGGCUACCGGAACAAGCGGUGGAGCGGUGGAAUGCGCAGAUAUCAGGAGGAACACCGGUGGCGAAGGCGGGUCUCUGGGCAGUAACUGACGCUGAGGAGCGAAAGCGUGGGGAGCGAACAGG
rnacentral:rRNA from 1 species